AACGCGAAGAACCUUACCUGGUCUUGACAUCCACGGAAGUUUUCAGAGAUGAGAAUGUGCCUUCGGGAACCGUGAGACAGGUGCUGCAUGGCUGUCGUCAGCUCGUGUUGUGAAAUGUUGGGUUAAGUCCCGCAACGAGCGCAACCCUUAUCCUUUGUCGCCAGCGGUCCGGCCGGGAACUCAAAGAAGACUGCCAGUGAUAAACUGGAGGAAGGUGGGGAUGACGUCAAGUCAUCAUGGCCCUUACGACCAGGGCUACACACGUGCUACAAUGGCGCAUACAAAGAGAAGCGACCUCGCGAGAGCAAGCGGACCUCAUAAAGUGCGUCGUAGUCCGGAUUGGAGUCUGCAACUCGACUCCAUGAAGUCGGAAUCGCUAGUAAUCGUGGAUCAGAAUGCCACGGUGAAUACGUUCCCGGGUCUUGUACACACGC
rnacentral:rRNA from 1 species